rnacentral:misc_RNA from 1 species
UACGGAGACUGCGAGCGUUAAUCGGAUUUACUGGGCGUAAAGCGUGCGUAGGCGGCUUUUUAAGUCGGAUGUGAAAUCCCCGAGCUUAACUUGGGAAUUGCAUUCGAUACUGGAAGCUAGAGUACGGGAGAGGAUGGUAGAAUUCCAGGCGUAGCGGUGAAAUGCGUAGAGCUCUGGAGGAAUACCGAUGGCGAAGGCAGCCAUCUGGCCCAAUACUGACGCUGAGGUACGAAAGCAUGGGGAGCAAACAGG